GCUACAGAAGCAGAAGCUGGGAGAGCAGAGGCUGGAGGAGAGGCCUUGGAACAGAGGUCUUGGAAGGACAUUGUGAAAUGAACCGGACCUAAGAUAUCACUAAAAGCAAGUACUUUUGCAUUUGAAGGAGUGUUCAUCUCCACUGGAACCUCAAAUGUACCCAGUACUGGAACGGGUCCACUAAAGAAGGAGUAGAUAAUGAUGACAGAUUAUACCCAGUGAGACAGACAUGGCUCAGCACAGUGACAGUGAGACACAACAGCUGAUAACAACAGGAUCCAUUCGGAAGGGGAGUGAUCUCAGAACAUAACAAACCUCAUUCCUUAGCAAGUCACAGAAAGUAAAGAGAAGGUCUAUUGCUUGCCUUCAAAAUUGAAACAUUACAACUUGAAGAGAAGCCUUUAAAGCAGGAAUAUAAACAACUCAAAAUGGCUUCAGGAAGUACCUGAAACCAAACAGAUUAACCAGGUCUCUUCUUUCCAAGAAUAAAUAAGCCAAGCUGCUGAGAGUCACAGACAAGUCUGCAAAGAAGAUUUUAAGACAAUACCAGCUUACUGGGAGAAGCAGAAACCAACACAGCAGCUUGGAAUAGGAUUAUAUUACAUGUCUUUGAAGUGACACUCCCAAACAUGUUUUCCUGCCCAAAUGCUAUAAAGUGUGCUCUAGAUUUCGAGCUGCUGUGAGCUGUUACCAUGCUAAGGUGGGCUUUGAGGACACAACUAUCUUUGAGCCAUAUGCUUUUGUAAGUAACCUCUUACCUAUAAGUAACCACAAUAGAACUCAGUGAAAUUGGACUUUGAUGGUAUCUGUCUUUGGUCUCUUGUGAACUUCCUAUCUGGAGUGAACAAAUAUGUUUGUUGCAUCUUCUCAAAAAGUCUUGACACACAGCAAUAACAAAUACAAACAGCACAUUGCCCCCUUGAAAAGAGCUAAAACAAAUGAAAAAUGUGUAUAUUCUGUAUAUGAUAUGUUUAUAUUUAUGUAGAGAGAAAUAGUGAUCAUAAUAACCCGGAGAAGGUUUCUUCUUGAAAGGUGCAGAAUUUAGCCUUGACCAAGGAAUUUGUUCCAAGAAUAGAAUAUUGGCAAAUAUUAGGUGAUCAGGAGUUAAAAUAAUUUAAACUUGAUUUUUUUUUUUUUUUUUGCUGCCCUUUGGAAAGUAUCAUAUGUAGAAGUUCAGGUUAGUCUUCCCAAAGUCAGUAGAGCAUAUGCAACAUAAGGCAUCAGGACUAAAACUACCUUGAACAAGGAGCCUGUCGACACCAGACAGUGAGUGAGACCACCCAAACUAUGCAGUCCCAGCUGAGAUUCCCUGGAAUCAUGCAAAUCACACAAGCUGGCAUAGACCAGAAUAGCUUUUCAGAUGGUUUGUAGAAUUGUGAGAAAUAUCACUAAUGUAUUUUGCUUGAAAUCUUUGUGUUUUGUCAUAGCUUGUUAUGCAUCCAAAGCAAAACUGAAAUAAUGCCACUAUACUAUCACUUGGGAUGUAAAAUAUGGCAUAUCCAUGUGUGUGAAUAUGGGUACA